CCAGAGAACUUAGCAGAGAUGCUUUGGUGCCUUCGGGAACUCUGAGACAGGUGCUGCAUGGCUGUCGUCAGCUCGUGUUGUGAAAUGUUGGGUAAGUCCCGNAACGAGCGCAACCCUUAUCCUUUGUUGCCAGCGGUUCGGCCGGGAACUCAAAGGAGACUGCCGGUGAUAAACCGGAGGAAGGUGGGGAUGACGUCAAGUCAUCAUGGCCCUUACGGCCAGGGCUACACACGUGCUACAAUGGCGCAUACAAAGAGAAGCGACCUCGCGAGAGCAAGCGGACCUCAUAAAGUGCGUCGUAGUCCGGAUUGGAGUCUGCAACUCGACUCCAUGAAGUCGGAAUCGCUAGUAAUCGUAGAUCAGAAUGCUACGGUGAAUACGUUCCCGGGCCUUGUACACACCGCCCGUCACACCAUGGGAGUGGGUUGCAAAAGAAGUAGGUAGCUUAACCUUCGGGAGGGCGCUUACCACUUUGUGAUUCAUGACUGGGGUGAAGUCGUAACAAGGUAAGCGUAGUGCU
rnacentral:rRNA from 1 species